rnacentral:rRNA from 1 species
UGGGGGAUAUUGCACAAUGGGCGAAAGCCUGAUGCAGCGACGCCGCGUGGGGGAUGAAGGCUUUCGGGUUGUAAACCUCUUUCGCUAUCGAACAAGGCCCGCUUAGGGUGGGUUGAGGGUAGGUGGAGAAGAAGCGCCGGCUAACUACGUGCCAGCAGCCGCGGUAAUACGUAGGGCGCGAGCGUUGUCCGGAAUUAUUGGGCGUAAAGGGCUUCUAGGCGGCUUGUUGCGCCUGCUGUGAAAACGCGGGGCUUAACUUCGCGCGUGCAGUGGGUACGGGCAGGCUUGAGUGUGGUAGGGGUGACUGGAAUUCCAGGUGUAGCGGUGGAAUGCGCAGAUAUCUGGAGGAACACCGAUGGCGAAGGCAGGUCACUGGGCCAUUACUGACGCUGAGGAGCGAAAGCAUGGGUAGCGAACAGG